GUAAAGAACAAGUGGCGCGGUCCAGUGACUACCUCGAUGGGCAAUUGACCUUUCGUGAGCGUCUGCUGGUGCGCCAUCACUUGAUGUUCUGCCCUAACUGCCGGCGUUUUAUCCGUCAGAUGCGCCUGAUGCAGGCGACGCUGAAGAUCAUGCCGCAAGAGCCGGUAAAGGAGGCUGAUGCCUUGGCUGAGCGGCUGGCUGCCGAACGGCUGAAGGAUCUGUAAAGGCGGGAUAAAGACAGACUCGCGUGGGUGAGUC
rnacentral:misc_RNA from 1 species